GUGACGGGUGGCGGUCGGCAUGUUCGCUGCGAUUGCGAUGCUGGAUCGGAAUCCUGGAUUUUUGGCACCGAAAAUAGUCGGGUGGGAGCGCGGCGAAACCGCGAGGGCGGGCGCGGCGCAGUGCGUGUCGCUCCGCCGUGUGAACAGCCCGCUCGUGAGGCCGUAACUGGCGUAUUUUUUGACCGGACCGUAAAGACACAAAGCCACCACCAUGGACGCGAUUAAGAAGAAGAUGCAGGCGAUGAAGCUGGAGAAGGACAAUGCCAUGGACAAGGCCGACACCUGCGAACAGCAGGCUAGGGACGCCAACCUCCGCGCCGAAAAGGUCAACGAGGAAGUCCGUGAGCUCCAGAAGAAGCUCGCCCAGGUGGAGGAAGACCUGAUCCUGAACAAGAACAAGCUGGAACAGGCCAACAAGGACCUUGAAGAGAAGGAGAAGACCCUCACCGCCACCGAGGCUGAGGUCGCCUCCCUCAACAGGAAGGUGCAGCAGAUUGAGGAGGACCUUGAGAAGUCCGAGGAAAGGUCAGGCACCGCCCAGCAGAAGCUGCUCGAAGCUCAGCAGUCUGCUGACGAGAACAACCGUAUGUGCAAGGUGCUGGAGAACAGGGCGCAGCAGGACGAGGAGCGCAUGGACCAGCUCACCAACCAGCUCAAGGAGGCGCGUCUGCUCGCCGAGGACGCCGACGGCAAGUCCGACGAGGUAUCGCGCAAGCUGGCCUUCGUUGAAGACGAGCUUGAAGUAGCUGAGGACCGCGUCAAGUCUGGAGACGCCAAGAUCUCAGAACUUGAGGAGGAAUUAAAGGUCGUAGGUAACUCCCUCAAAUCUCUGGAAGUAUCGGAAGAGAAGGCCAACCAGCGCGUCGAGGAGUUCAAGAAACAGCUGAAGACCCUCACCAGCAAACUCAAGGAGGCCGAGGCUCGCGCUGAGUUCGCCGAGAAGACUGUCAAGAAACUGCAGAAGGAGGUCGACAGGCUCGAAGACGCAUUAUUCAACGAGAAGGAGAAAUACAAGGCGAUAUGCGAUGACUUGGACGGCACAUUCGCCGAGCUGACAGGAUACUAACCAGCCCUUACAGCACAUAGUUUAAGUCAAAACCGUCCGAAUCACUUUACCCUAAAGUCCAUUUUGAUACGUCACUUGCAUCGCCUGGACCCUGUUCAUUGUAGCCGAUCGUAGACUUGCAGAACGAGUUCCAUUUCAGUAUCUAAACUGUAUCUUAUAACGCCUAACCACUUGCUGGAUGUGUGGGGGACUGUCCUUGUACAGUAUAGUUUGACGUAUGUCCGGAGCAUUUGUGGCAGUCCCCUGGACACCUCGUGUUGAGCCUGCUUUCUUUGUUUGUGAUUAACAUGUCUAUCGCUUUGCUGCUACCGUCGCGGACCAAUGCUUCCAAGAUGAGCUCGGAAUCAACAAGGACAGAUACAAGAGCUUGGCCGACGAGAUGGACUCCACAUUCGCCGAGCUGGCGGGAUACUAGACACCCACUCCUUCCACACAUUCACACACACACGCAGCCCGCUGCCACACACACAUACACGAACAAACACACAAUCGUACACGUGAUGUAAUAUUUAUUAAUAUUUUAUGUAAAUUUAUUUACGAUUUUCAAUAAAAUUAAUUUAUAACAAGUUA
rnacentral:misc_RNA from 1 species